rnacentral:lncRNA from 1 species
UGCUAGAUUAUUAUUUUGAUUAUAUAUAUUCUAUUCUCGUAAAGAGCGACCAGCAGCCACAGGGGACGCAUCUAUGCGGAUACUAUGUUUGCGAGACCAUUCGCACGUUUACCUCUGAGCACAAGGAUCACAGAUACGACGUAAGCAAUAAACAUUCACACCUCUAUUUUUACCCGUCAUUCUUUGUUAUCAUGAUUGAUAUUCAUA